UACGUAGGGUGCGAGCGUUAAUCGGAAUUACUGGGCGUAAAGGGUGCGCAGGCGGUCUUGUAAGUCAGAUGUGAAAUCCCCGGGCUUAACCUGGGAACUGCGUUUGAAACUACAAGACUAGAGUGUAGCAGAGGGGGGUGGAAUUCCACGUGUAGCAGUGAAAUGCGUAGAGAUGUGGAAGAACACCGAUGGCGAAGGCAGCCCCCUGGGUUAACACUGACGCUCAGGCACGAAAGCGUGGGGAGCAAACAGG
rnacentral:rRNA from 1 species